GGGGUAGAAGUGAUGGCAUGUCACUCCUGAGAUUACGUCAUAAAAGACAUUGUGGCUUUCAUCUUGGCUUGGUACAUGCUUAUUCUUGCUGAUCCCUUGUUCUGGGGGAAGCCAUCUAUCAUGUCAUGGUAGGCUACAGGGAGUUCCAUGUGGGGAAGAACUGAAACCUCCUGCCAACAGCCAUGUGAGGAAGCUUGGAAAACCUUGGAAGAGUAUCCUUUAAAAAAAAGUUUUAAAUUAAACAUAAAUAAAUACAUAAACAGUGCAACUGCAACCUCAUGAGACAUCCCAAGCCAGACAACUCAGCAACAGAUAACGAACACAGACAAGCCUCAAAGGUGAGUUAGAAGGGAAUACGUCGAGACAGGAGAACCAUGAACCUGGGAUCUUGAGAUGUCAUGGAGGAUGGCCUGGAAUACAGUGACUAAUACUACUGAAUGGCAGAGGAUUGGAAUUUUCAACAAAGAGCUCUAAGCACUCAAGAUGGAGUGGCAGUAGGAUCCCAACACUUAUAUCUGUCCAGAACUGGUCAUCAGCUGGCUUGAGUUCUCCCAUUCUGCCUGUGCCUUCCCUUAGCAAGGGAAAGAACAAGAUGGAAGAGAAGGAAAAGGCCUGAUUGAACCAGCCAAUAGAAAAUUAGAAGCUGACUAUUUUGCAAUAAUGCAGCACAACAGCAAUAAAUAAAUCAAUCACUUGGGGGGGUGGAGAAUGACUUUCCUAUAAUCAGCUAUUAAAGUCUUGUACCACU